UACAGAGGGUGCGAGCGUUGUUCGGAAUUAUUGGGCGUAAAGGGCGCGUAGGCGGUGCGGUAAGUCACCUGUGAAAUCUCCUGGCUCAACUGGGAGCUUGCAGGCGAAACUGCCGUGCUGGAGUGUGGGAGAGGUGAGUGGAAUUCCCGGUGUAGCGGUGAAAUGCGUAGGUGUCGGGAGGAACACCUGUGGCGAAAGCGGCUCACUGGACCACAACUGACGCUGAGGCACGAAAGCGUGGGGAGCAAACAGG
rnacentral:rRNA from 1 species